AGGCUUGUGAUCCAAUGGCAAGAUGACGGUCUCCAAAACCGUUCAUGCAGGUUCAAGUCCUGCCAAGCCUG
rnacentral:tRNA from 1 species